rnacentral:lncRNA from 1 species
UUCGCCUUUUCUUUUUUUCUAGCAGGGCGCGACGCAGAUUGAGGAUUCCCAGGUAUGUUUUCUGUUAAGACCUUUGUGUAUGUCUAAUUGGCCUUUUCUUUUUUCUGGCAGGGCGCGACGCAGAUUGAGGAUUCCCAGGUAUGUUUUCUGUUAAGACCUUUGUGUAUGUCUAAUUGCGCCUUUUCUUUUUUUCUAGCAGGGCGCGACGCAGAUUGAGGAUUUCAGGUAUGUUUUCUGUUAAGACCUUUGUGUAUGUCUAAUGUUGCCUUUUCUUUUUUUCUGGCAGGGCGCGACGCAGAUUGAGGAUUUUCAGGUAUGUUAUCUGUUAAGACCUUGGUGUACGUCUAAUGUUGCCUUUUCUUUUUUUCUGGCAGGGCGCGACACAGAUUGGAGAUUCGCAGGUAUGUUUUCCGUUAAGGCCUUUGUGUAUGUCUAAUGUCGCCUUUUCCUUUUUUCUAGCAGGGCGAGACGCAGAUUGAGGAUUUUCAGGUAUGUUUUCUGGUAAGGCCUUUGUGUAUGUCUAAUGUCGCCUUUUCUUUUUUUCUAGCAGGGCGCGACGCAGAUUGAGGAUUUUCAGGUAUGUUUUCUGUUAAGACCUUUGUGUAUGUUUAAUGUUGCCUUUUCUUUUUUUCUGGCAGGGCACGACGCAGAUUGAGGAUUUUCAGGUAUGUUUUCUGUUAAGGUUUUUGUGUAUGUCUAAUGUCGCCUUUUCUUUUUCUGGCAGGGCGCGACGCAGAUUAAGGAAUUCCAGGUAUGUUUUCUGUUAAGAUCUUUGUGUAUGUCUAAUGUUGUCUUUUCUUUUUUUCUGGCAGGGCGCGACGCAGAUUGGAGAUUCGCAGGUAUGUUUUCUGUUAAGACCUUUGUGUAUGUCUAAAGUUGCUUUUCUUUUUUUCUAGCAGGGCGCGACGCAGAUUGAGGAUUCCAGGUAUGUUUUCUGUUAAGACCUUUGUGUAUGUCUAAUGGUUUCUUUUUUUUUUCCUUUAGGUCGUGUGGCCUUUUUUUUUUUUUGCAGGGCGCGCGACGCAGAUUGAGGAUUCCAGGUAUGUUUUUCUGUUAAGACCUUUGUGUAUGUCUAAUGUGCGCCUUUUCUUUUUUUCUAGCAGGGCGCGACGCAGAUUGAGGAUUCCAGGUAUGUUUUCUGUUAAGACCUUUGUGUAUGUCUAAUGUUGUCUUUUCUUUUUUUCUAGCAGGUCGCGACGCAGAUUGAGGAAUUCCAGGUAUGUUUUCUGUUAAGACCUUUGUGUAUGUCUAAUGUUGUCUUUUCUUUUUUUUCUAGCAGGGCGCGACGCAGAUUGAGGAUUUUCAGGUAUGUUUUCUGUUAAGACCUUUGUGAAUGUCUAAUUUCGCCUUUUCUUUUUUUCUAGCAGGGCGUGACGCAGAUUGAGGAUUUUCAGGUAUGUUUUCUGUUAAGACCUUUGUGUAUGUCUAAUGUUGCCUUUUCUUUUUUUCUAGCAGGGCGCGACGCAGAUUGAGGAUUUCAGGUAUGUUUUCUGUUAAGACCUUUGUGUAUGUCUAAUGGUUCUUUUUUUUUCCUUUAGGUCGUGUGGCCUUUUUUUUUUUUUUAGCAGGGCGUGACGCAGAUUGAGGAUUCCCAGGUAUGUUUUCUGUUAAGACCUUUGUGUAUGUCUAAUGUUGUCUUUUCUUUUUUUUCUGGCAGGGCGCAUCGCAGAUUGGAGAUUUUCCAGGUAUGUUUUCUGUUAAGACCUUUGUGUAUGUCUAAUGUUGCGCCUUUUUCUUUUUUUCUAGCAGGGCGCGACGCAGAUUGAGGAUUCCCAGGUAUGUUUUCUGUUAAGACCUUUGUGUAUGUCUAAUGUUCGCCUUUUCUUUUUUUCUAGCAGGGCGCGACGCAGAUUGAGGAUUCCAGGUAUGUUUUCUGUUAAGACCUUUGUGUAUGUCUAAUUUCGCCUUUUCUUUUUUUCUAGCAGGGCGCGACGCAGAUUGAGGAUUCCCAGGUAUGUUUUCUGUUAAGACCUUUGUGUAUGUCUAAUGUUGUCUUUUCUUUUUUUCUAGCAGGGCGCGACACAGAUUGAGGAUUUAGGUAUGUUUUCUGUUAAGACCUUUGUGUAUGUCUAAUGGUUCCUUUUUUUUUCCUUUAGGUCGUGUGGACUUUUUUUUUUUUUUGCAGGGCGCGACGCAGAUUGAGGAUUUAGGUAUGUUUUCUGUUAAGACCUUUGUGUAUGUCUAAUGUUGUCUUUUCUUUUUUUCUAGCAGGGCGCGACACAGAUUGAGGAUUUUCAGGUAUGUUUUCUGUUAAGACCUUUGUGUAUGUCUAAUGUUGCCUUUUCUUUUUUUCUAGCAGGGUGCGUUGCAGAUUGAAGAUUUUCAGGUAUGUUUUCUGUUAAGGCCUUUGUGUUUGUCUAAUGGUUCCUUUUUUUUUCCUUUAGGUCGUGUGGCCUAUGCUACAUUUGCUGGUAUGUUUUUUGUUAAGGCCUAUGUGUAUGUUUAAUGUUGCCUUUUCUUUUUUUCUGGAAGAGCACGACGCAGAUUGAAGAUUCGCAGGUAUGUUUUCUGUUAAGACCUUUGUGUAUGUCUAAUGUUGUGUUUUCUUUUUUUCUAGCAGGGCGCGACGCAGAUUGAGGAUUUCAGGUAUGUUUUCUGUUAAGACCUUUGUGUAUGUCUAAUGUUGUCUUUUCUUUUUUUCUAGCAGGGCGCGACGCAGAUUGAGGAAUUCCAGGUAUGUUUUCUGUUAAGACCUUUGUGUAUGUCUAAUGUUGCCUUUUCUUUUUUUCUGGCAGGGCGCGACGCAGAUUGAGAUUCGCAGGUAUGUUUUCUGUUAAGACCUUUGUGUAUGUCUAAUGGUUCUUUUUUUUUUCCUUUAGGUCGUGUGGCCUUUUUUUUUUUGCAGGGCGCGACGCAGAUUGAGGAUUUUCCAGGUAUGUUUUCUGUUAAGACCUUUGUGUAUGUCUAAUGUUGCCUUUUCUUUUUUUCUGGCAGGGCGCGACGCAGAUUGAGGAUUUUCAGGUAUGUUAUCUGUUAAGACCUUGGUGUACGUCUAAUGUUGCCUUUUCUUUUUUUCUGGCAGGGCGCGACACAGAUUGGAGAUUCGCAGGUAUGUUUUCCGUUAAGGCCUUUGUGUAUGUCUAAUGUCGCCUUUUCCUUUUUUCUAGCAGGGCGAGACGCAGAUUGAGGAUUUUCAGGUAUGUUUUCUGGUAAGGCCUUUGUGUAUGUCUAAUGUCGCCUUUUCUUUUUUUCUAGCAGGGCGCGACGCAGAUUGAGGAUUUUCAGGUAUGUUUUCUGUUAAGACCUUUGUGUAUGUUUAAUGUUGCCUUUUCUUUUUUUCUGGCAGGGCACGACGCAGAUUGAGGAUUUUCAGGUAUGUUUUCUGUUAAGGUUUUUGUGUAUGUCUAAUGUCGCCUUUUCUUUUUCUGGCAGGGCGCGACGCAGAUUAAGGAAUUCCCAGGUAUGUUUUCUGUUAAGACCUUUGUGUAUGUCUAAUGUUGUCCUUUUCUUUUUUUCUAGCAGGGCGCGACGCAGAUUGAGAUUCCAGGUAUGUUUUCUGUUAAGGCCUUUGUGUAUGUCUAAUGUCGCCUUUUCUUUUUUUCUAGCAGGGCGCGACGCAGAUUGAGGAAUUCAGGUAUGUUUUCUGUUAAGACCUUUGUGUAUGUCUAAUGGUUCUUUUUUUUUCCUUUAGGUCGUGUGGCCUUUUUUUUUUGCAGGGCGCGACGCAGAUUGAGGAUUCCCAGGUAUGUUUUCUGUUAAGACCUUUGUGUAUGUCUAAUUGUCGCCUUUUCUUUU